GUAUUUCUCUUCCAUUCCAGCACAGACACAGAGACUUUGCAACACAGACUAAAAUCGCUUUUCUGGAGCUGAAGUCAGUCUUUGUAGGGAAAUCCACAGAGCAGCAGUCGGAGUCAGAAGCUCUUUGUUAAGAAGGAGCCGGGAUGCUACUCAUGGCGACAGUGCUGAUCUCAUGGAUGCAAUUUUCAGAAAUAAGUGGACAACAGGUAAAGCAAAUUCCUCAAUUCUGGUGCAUCUGGGAAGGAGAGAAUUUCACUGCGUACUGCAAUUCUUCAGGCACUUUCAACACCUUGCUGUGGUACAAGCAGAAGCCUGGGGGACACCCAGUCCUCUUGGUGAGGCUUGUGAAGGGUGGAGAAGUGAAGGAGCAGGACAGACUGACAACUCAAUUUGGAGAAAGAAGACAGGACGGCUCCCUGCACAUCACAGCCACCCGGGGAAGUGACGUAGGAACCUAUUUCUGUGCAACGACACAGUGCUCCCCAAGCACCUGCUGCCUGUACCCAAACCACGACCUGAGAAUCCACAAAGAGCAUCUCAUCCCUAGUAUAGCUCCGACACUAGAGAAAGCUAAACUCACACUGUCUGCAAAGAGACGGUGCACUUCCUCCUCAUGGCAAUAG